UAAAAAAAUCAGAAAAAUUCAGAAACCCUAACUGUCUCUCUCUUCUCCCUCCAGCCGUUUCUCUCUCAGUUUCUCUAUCCUCUCUCUCAAAUUCUCUCUCCUCUCCCUCGUUGUUCUCUCUCUCCCUCCUCUGUCCUUCUCUCUCGUCGCCUUCGACGAAGUAGAGUGCGGGUGGUACGAGUGCCGAGGGUUGUGUGUGUGUGGUGGUCGGCCGCUUUGUGCGUCGUCGUGUGCGAACGUGUGUGGUGCGUUCGAGGGUGCGAGCGAGCGUAGUUUCGAGCGAGCGAGGGAGGGAGUUCGAGGGGCUUGUGCAAUGCUGGUUGUGCGAAGUGUGGUGCGAAGGUUUGUGCGAGCAAGGUUAUGCGAGUCGUGUCGAGGGUUGCGCGAGGGUUGGUUUGCGUGCGUGGGUGUUCGACGUGGUUGGUUUCGUUGUAGGGUUGUGCGCGCGCUGUGCGAGGUUGUACGACGAGCGACGCGUGCUGCGGCUCAAGUGCGGUGAGACGAGGGUGGUGCGUCGGUUGCCGGUGAUUUUCGCCGGCAAGUUUAGCGGUCCCAAUUUCAUGAGCGGAACGUUUGGUUAAGACAACGAAAAUUCUCCGUUACAAGACUAGGUGCACUGGUGCUGCAACAUGAUACUGAGCAUUCGGGGGGUAGUUUUUAGUCUUGGACUUCAUAGCUUUUGAAUUAAGUAUUACAAGAAUAUUAGGAUUUACUCAAUUAGUUGUGUUUUGAAUAAAAGGGGUCGUUGAUGAUUCCCGAGUUCUAGUUACAUUUUUAUUUCCGCUGCAUUUCAGUUUUCGAGACAACGUUUUGAGUUUAUAUUCCUUUUUAAUAAGCCUUGCGUUUCAUCGCGACGGUAACACUCCCAAAGUUGAUGCGACGUAGUCGUAGACGUGUAUGGAUUUUGGGAGUGUUACAGUUAUGCACGUCUGAAGUGUUAGACAAGUAGAGAGUUGGAGUACAUGGUGGUAGCCCAUGACUUUUCCUAGGACCGGAUUGAUCAACAUGUCCUAUUUUUAUUUAAUAAGGUUCCUCGAUAUCGUAGGUCGUAGGAAUACGGAGUCACUCCUGUAUUUCGUCUUCCAAAGGGAAGGUUGAUUUUUAGUUAGACAACUUGUUCCAUUGAGUAUUUCAUUUAAAGUAAUUAAAUUAUUUGUUGUGAAUUAAGUUUAGUUCAGUAAAAGUUAUCUGCAAGGUUAUUAUCUUAUUAUUAUUUA